GACGAACGCUGGCGGCGUGCCUAAUACAUGCAAGUAGAACGCUGAAGGAGGAGCUUGCUUCUCUGGAUGAGUUGCGAACGGGUGAGUAACGCGUAGGUAACCUGCCUGGUAGCGGGGGAUAACUAUUGGAAACGAUAGCUAAUACCGCAUAAUAGUAGAUGUUGCAUGACAUUUGCUUAAAAGGUGCAAUUGCAUCACUACCAGAUGGACCUGCGUUGUAUUAGCUAGUUGGUGAGGUUACGGCUCACCAAGGCGACGAUACAUAGCCGACCUGAGAGGGGGAACGGCCACACUGGGACUGAGAAACGGCCCAGACUCCUACGGGAGGCAGCAGGAGGGGAUCUUCGGCAAUGGACGGAAGUCUGACCGAGCCACGCCGGGUGAGGGGAGGAGGGUUUCGGGUCGUAAAGCUCUGUUGUAAGAGGAGAACGGGUGUUAGGGUGGAAAGUUCACACUGUGACGGUAUCUUACCAGAAAGGGACGGCUAACUACGUG
rnacentral:rRNA from 1 species